rnacentral:rRNA from 1 species
CCUACGGGGGGCAGCAGUGAGGAAUAUUGGUCAAUGGACGAGAGUCUGAACCAGCCAAGUCGCGUGAAGGAUGACUGCCCUAUGGGUUGUAAACUUCUUUUAUAUGGGAAUAAAACGUUCCACGUGUGGGAUUUUGUAUGUACCAUAUGAAUAAGGCUCGGCUAAAUCCGUGCCAGCAGCCGCGGUAAUACGGAGGAUCCGAGCGUUAUCCGGAUUUAUUGGGUUUAAAGGGAGCGUUGGUGGAUUUGUAAGUCAGUUGUGAAAGUUUGCGGCUCAACCGUAAAAUUGCAGUUGAAACUGGCAGUCUUGAGUACAGUAGAGGUGUGCGGAAUUCGUGGUGUAGCGGUGAAAUGCUUAGAUAUCACGAAGAACUCCGAUUGCGAAGGCAGUUCACUGGACUGCAACUGACACUGAGGCUCGAAAGUGUGGGUAUCAAACAGGAUUAGAUACCCGUGUAGUC